UACGGAGGGUGCAAACGUUGCUCGGAAUCAUUGGGCGUAAAGCGCACGUAGGCGGCCCGCUAAGUCGGAUGUGAAAUCCCUCGGCUCAACCGAGGACGUGCAUUCGAUACUGGCAGGCUUGAAUAUGGAAGAGGGUCGCGGAAUUCCCGGUGUAGAGGUGAAAUUCGUAGAUAUCGGGAGGAACACCAGUGGCGAAGGCGGCGACCUGGGCCAUAUUGACGCUGAGGUGCGAAAGCGUGGGGAGCAAACAGGG
rnacentral:rRNA from 1 species